rnacentral:rRNA from 1 species
UCGUUAAGUCAGCUGUGAAAGUUUGGGGCUCAACCUUAAAAUUGCAGUUGAUACUGGCGUCCUUGAGUGCGGUUGAGGUGUGCGGAAUUCGUGGUGUAGCGGUGAAAUGCUUAGAUAUCACGAAGAACUCCGAUUGCGAAGGCAGCACACUAAUCCGUAACUGACGUUCAUGCUCGAAAGUGUGGGUAUCAAACAGGAUUAGAUACCCUGGUAGUCCACACGGUAAACGAUGGAUACUCGCUGUUGGCGAUAUACUGUCAGCGGCUUAGCGAAAGCGUUAAGUAUCCCACCUGGGGAGUACGCCGGCAACGGU